CAAAUCCCAGGGCACCGAGAAGCGGAACGUGCGAACUUAACUGCUGCACCACCAGGCCAGCCCCCAUGGCUAACUUUUUUAAGAUCAAAACUAAAGCUCAAAGAUUUCUAGUAGCAAAGGACCCUGGAUCCCUUUUUCCAGAAUCAUCCUUAAUCCCAGGGGAGAAAAGAAGGGCCCCUGACCUGGGCAGUCACAUCAGAGGGACUUCUCUAGCCCUCCACCAGCCAUGCCCUUCACAGAAGACAAACAAAGGUACGCACACAGAGGCCAACCAACCCCUCUCCAGAUCACACCCAGAGAAGCCAUCCACUGGGGACCGGGAGCGCACACCCCUGCAGUGAUGUGAUGUGACAGCAAGGAUGGCUUUCACCACAAGAGCAGCGGAGAAAAUUGGACAAGAGGAACCCUGGGAGGCCGGGGUUAUCUAAACACAGCAAGUCACCCGAUAUGUCAAAGAGGCAAAAAGGAAGACCUUCUCUGUGAUUUCUGUGACAGGGGAACUUAUUGUUCAACCCAACUGAGAAAACAGAUGUGGUCACGUUUCUCUGCAUAAAGGAACUUACAUAGAGGAUAUGAGGCUAGUAAGAGGUGCCAGACGUGAGAAUAAACAUUGAAACACCUAUCUUGCGGAGGGGACAGUGAUCCCUUGGCGGUCCCUUGGCUGUCCGCUGAAACUUUUUGUUAUACGAAUUUGAGAGGUUACAAAAAGGACGUGAGAUGCAUGGAAUUCAUUAACAACUAUCUGUGAAAGAAUAUCCUAAUUAGCAUAACUCCAUGCUACAAGCCUGAAUCAGCAUGCCAGAGGAGAGGGCCUGAACAGAGGGGGGUAAACCUUAUGAACUGAAAGAAAAUAAGGCAGUCUAGAGGAGCGAAAACAAAUAGGUGGAUGGUUCUCCCACGAGAUUUAAAAUUCAACAGGACUGUGGCACGUUCCCUCUUAAUGACUGUGAAAUUGAUUGGGAUAUAGGCUAAUAGAGGUCCCAGGAGUGCUAAACUAAAUUAGAGGAAGUCCUAUAAUUACAGCUAGCAGUUAAUUAUUCUAUGAUGGGAAUGGUAAUCAACGGAACAGACACACUGUGAUUUUCCAUCUUCCCUGCAAAACAUCCCUCACCAAGUCUCUUAAGAGUAGUAGAGCGGCCAGUUUUGUGGUUCAACUUACUGUGGCUUCCUAGUGCACCCAAAUAAAAUCCAAACCAGGGCCUCCUGCAGGUGAUUUGGCCUGCGGCCUCAUUCCUGGCUCUUGCCUGCCUUUCCCA